rnacentral:tRNA from 1 species
GCCAAGGUGGCGGAACUGGCAGACGCGCACGCUUCAGGAGCGUGUUUCCUUUACCGGAAGUGGAGGUUCGAAUCCUCUCCUUGGCA